rnacentral:rRNA from 1 species
AGAGUUUGAUCCUGGCUCAGGACGAACGCUGGCGGCGUGCCUAAUACAUGCAAGUCGAACGCCUCUUUUCCCACCGGAGCUUGCUCCACCGGGAAAAGAGGAGUGGCGAACGGGUGAGUAACACGUGGGUAACCUGCCCAUCAGAAGGGGAUAACACUUGGAAACAGGUGCUAAUACCGUAUAACAAUCGAAACCGCAUGGUUUCGUUUUGAAAGGCGCUUUACGGUGCCGCUGAUGGAUGGACCCGCGGUGCAUUAGCUAGUUGGUGAGGUAACGGCUCACCAAGGCCACGAUGCAUAGCCGACCUGAGAGGGUGAUCGGCCACAUUGGGACUGAGACACGGCCCAAACUCCUACGGGAGGCAGCAGUAGGGAAUCUUCGGCAAUGGACGAAAGUCUGACCGAGCAACGCCGCGUGAGUGAAGAAGGUUUUCGGAUCGUAAAACUCUGUUGUUAGAGAAGAACAAGGGUGAGAGUAACUGUUCACCCCUUGACGGUAUCUAACCAGAAAGCCACGGCUAACUACGUGCCAGCAGCCGCGGUAAUACGUAGGUGGCAAGCGUUGUCCGGAUUUAUUGGGCGUAAAGCGAGCGCAGGCGGUUUCUUAAGUCUGAUGUGAAAGCCCCCGGCUCAACCGGGGAGGGUCAUUGGAAACUGGGAGACUUGAGUGCAGAAGAGGAGAGUGGAAUUCCAUGUGUAGCGGUGAAAUGCGUAGAUAUAUGGAGGAACACCAGUGGCGAAGGCGGCUCUCUGGUCUGUAACUGACGCUGAGGCUCGAAAGCGUGGGGAGCAAACAGGAUUAGAUACCCUGGUAGUCCACGCCGUAAACGAUGAGUGCUAAGUGUUGGAGGGUUUCCGCCCUUCAGUGCUGCAGCUAACGCAUUAAGCACUCCGCCUGGGGAGUACGACCGCAAGGUUGAAACUCAAAGGAAUUGACGGGGGCCCGCACAAGCGGUGGAGCAUGUGGUUUAAUUCGAAGCAACGCGAAGAACCUUACCAGGUCUUGACAUCCUUUGACCACUCUAGAGAUAGAGCUUCCCCUUCGGGGGCAAAGUGACAGGUGGUGCAUGGUUGUCGUCAGCUCGUGUCGUGAGAUGUUGGGUUAAGUCCCGCAACGAGCGCAACCCUUAUUGUUAGUUGCCAUCAUUUAGUUGGGCACUCUAGCAAGACUGCCGGUGACAAACCGGAGGAAGGUGGGGAUGACGUCAAAUCAUCAUGCCCCUUAUGACCUGGGCUACACACGUGCUACAAUGGGAAGUACAACGAGUCGCGAAGUCGCGAGGCUAAGCUAAUCUCUUAAAGCUUCUCUCAGUUCGGAUUGUAGGCUGCAACUCGCCUACAUGAAGCCGGAAUCGCUAGUAAUCGCGGAUCAGCACGCCGCGGUGAAUACGUUCCCGGGCCUUGUACACACCGCCCGUCACACCACGAGAGUUUGUAACACCCGAAGUCGGUGAGGUAACCUUUUUGGAGCCAGCCGCCUAAGGUGGGAUAGAUGAUUGGGGUGAAGUCGUAACAAGGUAGCCGUAUCGGAAGGUGCGGCUGGAUCACCU